GACGAACGCUGGCGGCGUGCUUAACACAUGCAAGUCGAGCGGAAAGGCCCUUCGGGGUACUCGAGCGGCGAACGGGUGAGUAACACGUGAGUAAUCUGCCCCAGGCUCUGGGAUAGCCACCGAAAACGGUGAUUAAUACCGGAUACGACAACCGAUUGCAUGAUCUGGUUGUGGAAAGUUUUUCGGCCUGGGAUGUGCUCGCGGCCUAUCAGCUUGUUGGUGAGGUAAUGGCUCACCAAGGCUUCGACGGGUAGCCGGCCUGAGAGGGUGACCGGCCACACUGGGACUGAGAAACGGCCCAGACUCCGACGGGAGGCAGCAGUGGGGAAUAUUGGACAAUGGGCGGAAGCCUGAUCCAGCAACGCCGCGUGAGGGAUGACGGCCUUCGGGUUGUAAACCUCUUUCAGCACAGACGAAGCGCAAGUGACGGUAUGUGCAGAAGAAGGACCGGCCAACUACGUGCCAGCCGCCGCCGUAAUAC
rnacentral:rRNA from 1 species